GGAGGGUCCCGACAGUGGCAUCUGGAUGAUGUGGGACACAUGAGCAUCAAAAGGCAGGGCCAGUCUGACUGCUGUGUGCUGAGUGGAUUGGAGAUGUGCCAGUGGAGCAGGGAUACUGGUGGCACUAUUUUGAUGAUCCAGACUCCCUCCUGUCUCCACUGAUUGGAAUGCAGCUGGUGAAGCCACAAGAUGGAAUGAACCUGGGUUCCUACAUGAGCUCGUGGAGCAGAGUGGUUCUGCCUACCCAGGACUGAACACAGUGUGACUGGUUAAUGAAAAACUUUAU